rnacentral:rRNA from 1 species
GAUGAACGCUGGCGGCGUGCCUAAUACAUGCAAGUCGAGCGAACAGAUGAGAAGCUUGCUUCUCUGAUGUUAGCGGCGGACGGGUGAGUAACACGUGGGUAACCUACCUAUAAGACUGGGAUAACUCCGGGAAACCGGGGCUAAUACCGGAGAAUAUUUUGAACCGCAUGGUUCAAUAGUGAAAGACGGUUUCGGCUGUCACUUAUAGAUGGACCCGCGCCGUAUUAGCUAGUUGGUAAGGUAACGGCUUACCAAGGGGACGAUACGUAGCCGACCUGAUAGGGUGAUGGGACAGACUGGAACUGAGACACGGUCCAGACUGAUACGGGAGGCAGCAGUAGUGCAUCUUCCGCAAUGGGUGAAGGCUUGACGGAGCUUUGCCGCGGGAGUGAUGAAGGUCUUCGGAUCGUAAAACUCUGUUGUUAGGGAAGAACAAAUUUGUUAGUAACUGAACAAGUCUUGACGGUACCUAACCAGAAAGCCACGGCUAACUACGUGCCAGCAGCCGCAGUAA